GGAUAUGUGACGUGACCGCAUGGUCUGCGUUUGGAAAGAUUUUUCGGUUGGGGAUGGGCUCGCGGCCUAUCAGCUUGUUGGUGAGGUAAUGGCUCACCAAGGCGUCGACGGGUAGCCGGCGUGAGAGGGUGACCGGCCACACUGGGACUGAGACACGGCCCAGACUCCUACGGGAGGCAGCAGUGGGGAAUAUUGCACAAUGGGCGAAAGCCUGAUGCAGCAACGCCGCGUGAGGGAUGACGGCCUUCGGGUUGUAAACCUCUUUUAGCAGGGAAGAAGCGAAAGUGACGGUACCUGCAGAAAAAGCGCCGGCUAACUACGUGCCAGCAGCCGCGGUAAUACGUAGGGCGCAAGCGUUAUCCGGAAUUAUUGGGCGUAAAGAGCUCGUAGGCGGUUUGUCGCGUCUGCUGUGAAAUCCCGAGGCUCAACCUCGGGCCUGCAGUGGGUACGGGCAGACUAGAGUGCGGUAGGGGAGAUUGGAAUUCCUGGUGUAGCGGUGGAAUGCGCAGAUAUCAGGAGGAACACCGAUGGCGAAGGCAGAUCUCUGGGCCGUAACUGACGCUGAGGAGCGAAAGGGUGGGGAGCAAACAGGCUUAGAUACCCUGGUAGUCCACCCCGUAAACGUUGGGAACUAGUUGUGGGGUCCAUUCCACGGAUUCCGUGACGCAGCUAACGCAUUAAGUUCCCCGCCUGGGGAGUACGGCCGCAAGGCUAAAACUCAAAGGAAUUGACGGGGACCCGCACAAGCGGCGGAGCAUGCGGAUUAAUUCGAUGCAACGCGAAGAACCUUACCAAGGCUUGACAUAUACGAGAACGGGCCAGAAAUGGUCAACUCUUUGGACACUCGUAAACAGGUGGUGCAUGGUUGUCGUCAG
rnacentral:rRNA from 1 species